rnacentral:rRNA from 1 species
AACCUGCCCAAGAGAUCGGGAUAACACCUGGAAACAGAUGCUAAUACCGGAUAACAAUAGAUGAUGCCUAUCAACUGUUUAAAAGAUGGUUCUGCUACCACUCUUGGAUGGACCUGCGGUGCAUUAGCUAGUUGGUAGGGUAACGGCCUACCAAGGCGAUGAUGCAUAGCCGAGUUGAGAGACUGAUCGGCCACAUUGGGACUGAGACACGGCCCAAACUCCUACGGGAGGCAGCAGCC